rnacentral:lncRNA from 10 species
CAGGCACACACCACCAAUGAGUGAAGAAGGCUGCUGUGGCAUGCUCGGGACCUAGAGGGAACCUGCCUCAUUGACAGGGGACAGCAGCUGCACAGCUCCAGACAAUCGUUGUCAAGGACGGGAAUGAGAUUCUAACAUGGCUGAUCUGAUUUUUCAAGAAAGAUGAGAAAAAUAGUAAUGGAGGAAAUGGAAGGAAAAAGGAUGGCCAUAAGUUGGAGGCAGGUGAAAGACCCAAAUUCAUGGAAGAGAAGUGAGUCACACAGGGAGCCAGUGGCAGAGCCACACCCCACAGAGCAAUCAACAUGCUCUACUCUGCAGACCUGCAACAGGGAGGGAAGCCAGACUCUGAUGCAAGAAGGAAAGACCAUGUGCUGGCUCAGUGUGUGCAGCCUGGACUGAGCUACUGAACUCUAAAUCCAAGGAUGACUAAUAGGCAGAAUGACAUUAAUACCAGACCUGAUGAAGACAGCACAAAAAGUAAAUCUCAACACAACCUCACAAUAUUAAUAAAGCAAAAAUUUUAAAUACAGUAAUGUAUUAGCAAA